AGCGCGGCGAGAAUUGGGAGGGGUACCUAAGCUCCGCCCCUGCUUCUGGGACUUCCCCGCGCAACCAGGGCGCCUCCUCUCGGCCAGGCGGGCGGCGGGGCAGCCCCGGGCUGGCCCCGCCCCGGGCUGGCCCCGCCCCUACGGCCUCCGAGUCUCGGCGCUGCCCCUGCCUGCCCGCUCGCUUCGCCCCGCCCCACCCCGCGCCGCUCCGCGCCGGCUCCGCAGCUUGCGCCCGCCGGCGGGUCCGGCGCCGGGCCAUGGCGCUGUUGCGGGACGUGUCGCUGCAGGAUCCGCGGGACCGCUUCGAGCUGCUACAGCGUGUGGGGGCCGGGACCUAUGGCGACGUUUACAAGGCCCGUGACACCGUCACGUCCGAACUGGCCGCGGUGAAGAUCGUCAAGCUAGACCCAGGGGACGACAUCAGCUCUCUUCAGCAGGAAAUCACCAUCCUUCGUGAAUGCCGCCACCCCAAUGUCGUGGCCUACAUCGGCAGCUACCUCAGGAAUGACCGAUUGUGGAUCUGUAUGGAGUUCUGUGGAGGAGGGUCACUGCAGGAGAUUUACCACGCCACUGGGCCCCUGGAAGAACGGCAGAUUGCCUAUGUUUGCCGGGAGGCACUGAAGGGGCUCCACCACCUGCAUUCUCAGGGGAAAAUUCACCGAGACAUUAAGGGUGCCAACCUUCUGCUCACUCUGCAGGGUGAUGUCAAGCUGGCGGACUUUGGGGUGUCAGGCGAGCUGACAGCAUCUGUGGCCAAAAGACGUUCUUUCAUUGGCACUCCAUACUGGAUGGCACCAGAGGUUGCCGCUGUGGAACGCAAGGGUGGCUACAAUGAGCUGUGUGACGUCUGGGCCCUGGGCAUCACUGCCAUUGAGUUGGGCGAGCUGCAACCGCCACUGUUCCACCUGCACCCCAUGAGGGCCUUGAUGCUCAUGUCGAAAAGCAGCUUCCAGCCACCCAAGCUAAGAGAUAAGACGCGUUGGACCCAGAAUUUCCACCACUUCCUCAAGCUGGCCCUAACCAAGAACCCCAAGAAGAGGCCUACAGCAGAGAGGCUUCUGCAGCACCCAUUCACGACCCAGCAUCUCCCUCCGGCCCUCCUCACCCAGCUCCUCGACAAGGCCAGUGACCCCCACCUGGGAACCCUCUCCCCUGAAGACAGUGAGCUGGAGACCCAUGACAUGUUUCCAGAUACCAUCCAUUCCCGCAGCCAUCAUGGUCCUGCUGAGAGGACCCCCUCCGAGAUCCAGUUUCACCAAGUGAAAUUCGGUGCUCCUCGCCGGAAGGAGACAGAUCCUCUCAAUGAACCGUGGGAGGAGGAGUGGACGCUCCUGGGAAAAGAGGAACUGAGUGGGAGCCUGCUGCAGUCAGUCCAGGAGGCCCUGGAGGAAAGGAGCCUGACUAUCCGGCCAGCCUUAGAACUCCAGGAGCUGGACUCCCCGGAUGAUGCCAUCGGAACCAUCAAACGGGCUCCAUUUUUGGGGCUGCCCCACACUGAGUCAACAUCUGGUGACAAUGCCCAGUCCUGCUCCCCAGGUACCCUGUCAGCACCUCCAGCUGGCCCUGGCAGCCCCGCAUUGCUGCCUACCGCCUGGGCUACUCUGAAGCAACAGGAGGAUCGUGAGCGAUCAUCCUGCCAUGGGCUUCCUCCCACCCCCAAGGUGCACAUGGGUGCCUGCUUCUCCAAGGUCUUCAAUGGCUGCCCCCUGCAGAUCCAUGCUGCUGUCACUUGGGUUCACCCUGUGACUCGAGACCAGUUCCUGGUGGUAGGGGCUGAGGAGGGCAUCUAUACCCUCAACCUGCACGAACUGCACGAGGACACAAUGGAGAAGCUCAUCUCCCAGCGCUGCUCCUGGCUCUACUGUGUGAACAAUGUGUUGCUGUCGCUCUCAGGGAAAUCCACACAUAUCUGGGCGCAUGACCUCCCGGGCCUGUUUGAGCAGCGAAGGCUGCAGCACCAGGCACCCCUCUCCAUCCCUACCAACCGCAUCACUCAGCGCAUCAUCCCCAGGUCAGCAGGCGCUUUGCCCUGUCCACCAAGAUUCCUGACACCAAAGGCUGCUUGCAGUGCCGUGUGGUUCGAAACCCCUAUACCGGCAGUACGUUCCUGCUGGCCGCCCUGCCUGCCAGCCUGCUUCUGCUGCAAUGGUAUGAGCCACUGCAGAAAUUCCUGCUGCUGAAGAACUUUUCCAGUCCCUUGCCCAGCCCAGCGGGGAUGCUGGAGCCGCUGGUGCUAGAUGGGAAGGAGCUGCCACAGGUGUGUGUGGGCGCCGAGGGACCCGAGGGACCCGGCUGUCGAGUCCUGUUCCAUGUCUUGCCCCUGGAAGCUGGCCUGACUCCAGACAUCCUCAUCCCUCCUGAGGGGAUCCCAGGUUCUGCACAGCAGGUGAUCCAAGUGGACAGGGACACAGUCCUGGUCAGCUUUGAACGCUGUGUGAGAAUUGUUAACCUGCAGGGGGAACCCACGGCUGCACUUGCCCCUGAACUAACCUUUGACUUCACUAUUGAGACUGUGGUGUGUCUGCAGGAUAGUGUGCUGGCGUUCUGGAGCCAUGGCAUGCAGGGCCGAAGCCUCGAUACCAACGAGGUGACGCAGGAGAUAACAGAUGAGACCAGGAUCUUCCGAGUACUGGGGGCUCACAGGGACAUCAUCCUGGAAAGCAUCCCAACUGAUAACCCCGGGGCACACAGCAACCUCUACAUCCUCACGGGUCACCAGAGCAGCUACUGAGCUAUCUCCCCGAUGACGCCUAGGCCUCAAUUGCCACCUCCAGCCUCUGCUGGGGUUCCAGAGGGCAGACCUAAUUCUGAGACGUGUUUGGGGGCAGAGAGGGGAGGUAGCCCACCCACCUCAGCAAUAACUGGACCAGAGGGAGCUGUGAGCACCUACCCUCCCUGGAGAGCUGUCCCCAGUACAGGAGGCCCUGGGCAGGAUAGACUGCCUGACUGAUCCAUUCCACAUUUUCACUUUUCCUUUCCAUUCUUUCUGCCAAGAAGAGCCUGCCCCAGGUUCUAUCCUGGGCAACAUGUAUUUAAGAGAGAAUUAUAUUGGUAUUAAAGCUGGUUGGUUUUAUCCCACUAGUCUCUCUGAGGUAGAGGAGUUGAGCCCUCACCUUCUCUGCCUUCCUCUCUCCUUCCUCUUUGUCUCCCUCUUUUCUGCAGGACAUCUUUCUGUAAGUACUUGGUUGGUCUUAGGUGUUCACCAUAGAAGGGCCAGCCCACUAGUGCUCUGUGGAGUCUAGGCUCAGGUGACAUAAGCCAGUGGUCUCUGCCCCAGCAGCCCUCUCUUGGCUGUGUCAAUUGAGUCCUCUGCUGUAAUCUGGCAUUUUAUGGACUUGUGCGGGGGGAACUCUAAGCAGAGACCUGUCCAGGGCAGCCUUGCCCCAAGUAGGAUCUUGCUUGUGGUCUGUGGGAUGCUGGCAGCCAGCCAAGGAGCUAGCUACCAUGUCCAUUUCUGAGACCGGCACCCUGUCCCGGCCCUGUCUACUCCAGUGUCCAGUGAGCAGCCUGUAACAAUACAGCGAAGCAUCAGCUUACACUCGAGAGGGGGAUGUGAGUUCCUUUACUGUUCGGUCACUCCACACCAAGAUACAGCUUAGCACCCUGGAAGCUCGCUGGCAUGCUUCUCCCUGUGGCUUGUGCUUUGUAUUGUCCUCCCUUAGUCCCCUUCCCUGUGGUUCCAGACACUGAAGGCCACCGAAGAAUGGUGGGGCACACAGAUAAGGCCCGGCCUGGGGGUGGGGGUAAGGGGGCGUGUGGAGUAAAGGUCCAGCUCUGUCACCCUCUGACAUUUAGAACAAAUGUUGGCAGAAGGUGCCUGGCAUGCUGGCUGCAAGUACUUGCCAGUUGAGUGAAGCAGUGGUUGGGUGAGGGUGGGUAGGUGACAGCUCAUGUGAGCAGAAUUGUGGACCUUGUGGUUGUUACUAUCCUCUUGACUACUCUCUUCCAAAGCUCUGACUGGUUUCCAGUGACCAAGAGGUUUGCUUGACCAAAAUAGGAAGCCAGAGGAAGGAAAGGGACACAGUAUUUGUCCUCAGGGAGACAGACCCAAGUCAACUGAGGGACCAGGGGAGACAGGGCUACGGGGUAAACACCUAGCUUCCUAGCCCCAAUUUCUUGGGGGGCUGGCAGUAGGGGUGAGAGGUGGGCUGCAGACAGUGAGCCUGGUGGCAGGAGCCCAUCAGGAAAGGUUUAGGGGUAUAGUAUGCCAAAGUGAGGAGCCUGUGAAAGGCAAGAUCCACUGAUGUUUGCUCCCAGCAAAGGUGGGUGCCACAAGCCAAAGACAGGGCAAUCCAGGACUGUGCACUAAAAGACAUAAUUUUAUUUAUGUAUUUGUUUAUAGCCUUUUUCAGAUACAAAAUAGACUCUAGGCUAGGCUAUGGUGAAUGCCUGUGAUCCCAGUACUCAGGAGGCGGAGGCAGGACUGCCUGUGAAUUACAGUCCAGCCUGGUCUACAGAGUGAAUUCCAGGCCAGCCAAGGUUAUAUGUAGGCAAGACUCUGCCUCAAAAAUAAACCCUGCCUUCUCAUUUGUCCUCCAGUCCCUUCUAGAAGUAUUUAUGAUAUUUAAAGAAUUUGACAUAUUUUUAUUCACAUGGAAACAUUCUAUAUAUCCCUCUGGCUUUUUGAAAAUACAUUCUGGAGAUCUUUAUCAACCUGGAUGGUUUUUUUUUUGUUGUUUUGUUGUUGUUUUUUUGGUAUAGCUAGUGUAGGGUUUUAUGUGUUUAGGUGACUAAUGUUAACUGAAAGAUCUUUAUUGAUGGAAUGUAUUUCUACAUUAAUAUCACAAACCACACUGCAAUAAAUAACUCCUAUGUCAGAGCUA